UACGUAGGGUGCGAGCGUUAAUCGGAAUUACUGGGCGUAAAGCGUGCGCAGGCGGUGAUGUAAGACAGGUGUGAAAUCCCCGGGCCUAACCUGGGAACUGCAUUUGUGACUGCAUCGCUGGAGUGCGGCAGAGGGGGAUGGAAUUCCGCGUGUAGCAGUGAAAUGCGUAGAUAUGCGGAGGAACACCGAUGGCGAAGGCAAUCCCCUGGGCCUGCACUGACGCUCAUGCACGAAAGCGUGGGGAGCAAACAGG
rnacentral:rRNA from 1 species